AAAAAAACGAAUGCCCCCGGAAAACCAAGAGAUGUCUGUGGAUCUGUGAGGAAAGGAGGUAAAGAGGGGACCACGUGUACCUCUGGGCUCUGGACCUCAUGGAGACCAAGGGGCAUGCAGGCCUGGCCUUUGUCCUCACCAGUCUAUUACAUUCAGGGCCAAAUUUCAAGUAACCAUCCGUGAUGGAGCAAAGCCCUUCCGAUUCAGCAGAGACUUGGGACUGCAGACCUACCCUGCCUUUACCAGGUCAGAGGGAAGCAGGACCUGACAAGGGAGCCACCAUGCAGUGCAGAAGAGGGAGUGUACGGUUCAGUGGCACUAACAUUGAUGGCCAACAUUCACAUUGCUGGACAACCAUCGCCACCACUCAGCAUCAGAACUUUUUAUCUUCCUGAACUGAAACUCUGUACCCAUUAAACACAACUCCUCAUCUUUUCUUCCCCCCGAACCUGGCAAACCACCACUCUACUUUCUGUCUCUAUGAAUUUGACUACUCUAGGUAUUUCAUAUAAAUGGAA